UACGGAGGGUGCGAGCGUUGUCCGGAAUCACUGGGCGUAAAGGGCGCGUAGGCGGCGCGGUAAGCGUGCGGUGAAAGCCCGGGGCUCAACCCCGGGUCGGCCGUGCGGACUGCCGGGCUCGAGCACUGUAGAGGCGGGUGGAACUCCGGGUGUAGCGGUGGAAUGCGUAGAGAUCCGGAAGAACACCGGUGGCGAAGGCGGCCCGCUGGGCAGUGGCUGACGC
rnacentral:rRNA from 1 species